rnacentral:rRNA from 1 species
UACGGAGGAUCCGAGCGUUAUCCGGAUUUAUUGGGUUUAAAGGGUGCGUAGGCGGCCUUGUAAGUCAGGGGUGAAAGCCGGUAGCUUAACUAUCGCAGUGCCUUUGAUACUGCAGGGCUUGAAUGUACUUGAGGUAGGCGGAAUGUGACAAGUAGCGGUGAAAUGCAUAGAUAUGUCACAGAACACCAAUUGCGAAGGCAGCUUACUAAAGUAUGAUUGACGCUGAGGCACGAAAGCGUGGGGAUCAAACAGG